AGAAUUUGAUCUUGGUUCAGAUUGAAUGCUGACGGCGUGGAUGAGGCAUGCAAGUCGAACGGAUUUGAGUGCAAACUCAAGUCAGUGGCGGAAGGGUUAGUAAUGCACAGGUAACGUACCGUGACCCUGGGGAUAACAUUCAGAAAUGGAUGCUAAUACCGAAUGUCGUCAAUCUUCGGCAUCGUAGAUUGAUGAAAGCGGGGGAUUCCGAGAGGAACCUUGCGGGACAUGAGCGGCCUGUGUGGCAUCAGCUUGUUGGUAAGGUAAUGGCUUACCAAGGCUGAGACGCCUAGGCGGACUGGGAGGUCGAUCGCCAACACUGGGACUGAGAACUGCCCAGACUCCUACGGGAGGCUGCAGUCGAGAAUCUUUCGCAAUGGGCGCAAGCCUGACGAAGCGACGCCGUGUGUGUGAUGAAGGUUUUAGGAUCGUAAAGCACUUUCGCCUGUGAGCAAGAAUCGGCUUCUAAUAAAGGUUGAUUUUGAGAGUAGCAGGUAAAGAAGCGCCGGCCAACUACGUGCCAGCAGCUGCGGUAAUACGUAGGGCGCAAGCAUUAAUCGGAUUUAUUGGGUGUAAAGGGUGCGUAGGCGGUUGAGCAAGUUGGAUGUGAAAUUCCGGAGUUCAUCUUCGGACUGCAUACAAAACUGCUUGACUAGAGUGUAAGAGGGGAAAGCGGAAUUCCACAAGUAGCGGUGAAAUGCGUAGAUAUGUGGAGGAACACCGGUGGCGAAGGCGGCUUUCUGGAUUAUUACUGACGCUGAGGCACGAAAGCAUGGGGAGCAAACAGGAUUAGAUACCCUGGUAGUCCAUGCCGUAAACGAUGCACACUUGAUGUAGUCGGUCUCAACCCCGGCUGUGUCGUAGCUAACGCGAUAAGUGUGCCACCUGGGGAGUACGCUCGCAAGGGUGAAACUCAAAAGAAUUGACGGGGACCCGCACAAGCAGUGGAGCAUGUGGUUUAAUUCGAUGCAACGCGAAGAACCUUACCUGGGCUUGACAUGCAGAGGAUUGGGGCAGAAAUGCUCAGUUCCGAAAGGAUCUCUGCACAGGUGCUGCAUGGCUGUCGUCAGCUCGUGCCGUGAGGUGUUGGGUUAAGUCCCGCAACGAGCGCAACCCUUAUUUCUAAUUGCCAUCAGGUAAAGCUGGGCACUUUAGUGAGACUGCCUGAGUCGAUCAGGAGGAAGGUGAGGAUGACGUCAAGUCCGCAUGGCCCUUAUGUCCAGGGCUACACACGUGCUACAAUGGCCAGUACAGAAGGUUGCGAAGUCGCAAGGCGUAGCUAAUCCCCAAAACUGGUCUCAGUUCGGAUUGCAGUCUGCAACUCGACUGCAUGAAGUUGGAAUUGCUAGUAAUGGCGUGUCAGCAACAGCGCCGUGAAUACGUUCCCGGGUCUUGUACACACCGCCCGUCACACCACGGGAGUUGCUCUCGCCCGAAGUCGCUGACCUAACCCGCAAGGGAGGGAGGUGCCGAAAGUGAGGGUGAUGACUAGGGUGAAGUCGUAACAAGGUAAUCCUACUGGAAGGUGGGGUUGGAUCACCU
rnacentral:rRNA from 1 species